UUUUUUUUUUUUUUUUUUUUUUUUUUGCCAUACUCAUGGCAUGUGGAAGUUCCUGGCCCAGGCAUCAAAUCCGAGCUAGAGCUGUGACCUAUGCUGCAGCUGUGACAACACCGGACCCUUAAACCACUGAGGCUUAAACCAAUGGGAACUUCUCAGAGGGUACUUUAUUUAUUUAUUUAUUUUCAGGCCAUUCUCAUGGCAUAUGGAGAUUCCCAGGCUAUGGGUUGAAUUGGAGCUAUAGCUGCUGGCCUUUGCCACAGCCACAGCAACGCCAGAUCUGAGCCGAGUCUUCGACCUAUACCACAGCUCAUGACAACCCCGGAUCCUUAACCCACUAAGCGAGGCCAGGGAUCAAACUCACAACCUCAUAGUUCCUAGUUGGAUUCGUCUCCUCUGUGCCAUGAUGGGAAUUCAUCAAAGAGUACUUUUAAUCUUUCCUCAGUUUAGGAAGAUUCUUAGUCAUCUCUUCAUAUUUACUUCUCUGCUACUUUUGUCUGUUCUUCCGUAACACCUCUCCGACAAAUAUUAGAGCUUCUUAAUUUCUAAUUCAUCUCUUUUAUUCAUUUAUCUUUCUUCUUUAUGUUCUGUGUUAUGAGUGAAUUCCCCAAUACCAUCUUCUAAUUCAUUGGUCUCUCUCCAUUCUACAAUUUCCCUCACCUCUCAAGGGUUCCAUUUCCAUAAUGCUACUGGUUUUAUUUCCAAGAUUUCAAACUUAAUUUUUAGAGCUAUACAAAUCUCAUUUUAUUUAUGCUUAUUUUUGUUCUGAGUUUUUAUAUUAUUUUUUUCUACAUAAAAAUAAAUAUUUAAAAUUGGUAUAUGACAAAUAAAUGGUAAAUUUUUCCCUCUAACCCUGAUAGUAUGGAUGCAACUUGUAUCAGAAUCAUCUUCUAGUCUAUCCAACCCUUUAGAACACAGCCUUGAAAUCCUCAGAAAUCUGCAUCACUGCAGUAAUAUGGCACCUUCUAUUCCAAGUCUUUGUACUGGAGUCAUGGUUCAAUUCACCUUACAAAUCUACAAUUUUCAUCAGGGUUAAAAAUUGGAAUUUAUCGAAUCAUUUGAUCAAAGAUUUUUAAAUUCAAUUCAAAAAACUACAAUAUUUCUUAGAAUAUAUGAUGCUUGCAUACUACAUAUUUUUGUUGGUGUCAAAUUUAUUUAAUAUAACUUAAUUCUCUAUUGAUGUCUGUCUUCAUAUAACAUCACUUUAUUUCUUCACCAUUAUGAUUUAAUAAUGGCAAACGACCAUCUUACUCCCUGCACACAAAUAUCUCUCACUUUUUUACAACCAGAUUGGAAACCACAUUCUAAGUACUGCAAUUAAGUGCCUCACGUGAAGUGUAACAGAGUUUGGAUCUAACCUUGAUAGUGUUCAGGUAACAAGGGCACAACUGAACAAUAAAACUAGUGUAGUAAAAGUGUUUUCUCAAAGUCGAGGGGCUAUGGCCUGAGAAACUCAUAUUAACCCAGGAGUUCCUGUGUAUUAUCUCACUACUCAGAUGAAAAGACAUUCAGGACAUUGUUCAUUCCCUCUUCAGCUUUGUUGCUAAGACUCCGUAACAGCCUUUCUCAUGAGAGUGAUGAGAAACCUAAUACAGUUUGGGGAAUCCAGUCAUUUUGCUUCAAAAGCUGUUCAAUUCUCCAGGGCCUUUGAAAGACACUGUAGGGAUUCUGAAGAGCCAAAUAGCUGGAACAGGAUAGUUCAGGGUUUGACCAAUGCUCAGGUUACUGAACACCUGAAAACCUCAAUUUCCUACCCUUUGCAAUAGUUAUUGAAGGCUACUUCUUUCUGGUAACUUCUUGCAAUCGUUCUUGUGACUUAAAGGUUAUAUAUUACAAAAGAAAAACAGAUGACAGAAGUUUACUUUUACGUUUUAGAGUCAUAAAGAGAGCCACAUAAAAGCCUAGAACACACACAAGCACAUCCGUGAUACUCAGCAAAAUGGAAGAUUCUGUAUAGAGUUAUCCUCUAUCUAAUACUCCAUAAUCCGCUGGCAGAUCAUUCAAUUUUACCUCUGGCUCAUUGAGUGUUUAUUCAAAACCACACCAGUGAAGUGAAAGCAUCUCUUAAAAAUUCACUUGAUCUGUAAAAUGAUAUUGUACUGUGAAGGAAUAGCUUUCCUCUUCCUUGGUGGAAAGAUGUCUAUUAUUAUUGUUAUUAUUAUUAUUACUUUUCAGGGCUGUGCUCACGGCAAAUGGAAGUUCCCAGGCUAGGGGCUGAAUUGGAGCUACAGCUGCGGGCCUACACCACAGCCACAGCGAUGCCAGAUCCAAGCCACGUCUAUGAGCUACACCACAGCUCAUGGUAAUGCUGGAUCCUUAUCCCACUGAGCAAGGCCAGGGAUCGAACCCACAUCUUCAUGGGUACCAGUCAUUUUCAUUUCCACUGAGCCACGAUGGGAACUCCCAAGAUGUCUGUUAUUGAUACUUUAGGUUUAAAACUAGGUUUCCCGAAGUACACGGUAUAUAUGCUACUGAUAGGAAACACCAUGAUUUUGAUAGUUACAAGUGAUUAUUUAAGUGGGAAUUAGAUACAGGAAAACUUGUGAAGGUGGUACACGAAUGACUAAGGUUAGAGAAACUCUGGUUUAGGUAUUUUUUAAAUAAUCAAAGAUGAUUCUCACGGAAGAAGAAGAGACCAAGUAGGAUUUUAGCUGGAAAUGUUAAAAACCUAGUUUGCAAAGAGGGCGAGGCAGAGGUGUAUUUAGUAUGCUGGGAGUGGGGUUAGUCAAAUAUGAGCAGUUUCUUAUACACAAAAUCCACACUUGAAGUCACUGGCUUAAAAUAAAAGUAGGUCCUACGCUCAUUUGGAGCAAAGAGAAAGAAGCCUACCUCAACUAAAAGUUGAACCAGCUUGAAUCUCAACUUUAAAUAAGAUUAAUAGGACAGAGAAAAAUGUGUCUGGACAGAGGGUACAGAGUUCCAGAGUGAGAGACACAGAGACCUCCAAAUAGAUCAUUGGAAAGCCUGACAGAUGAGUGCCAGGGCUGGAUGCCAGAAAGAAGUUUUCGGAAAAUCAUCAAAGAAAAUGCCAUUCUCUCCCAGGGAUCCUGGGUUAGGACUCGAGAGCAGUGUGUAGCAAGGGUGGGGCUAGAGGCAGCAGUCCCCACCCCCAUACUAUCAUUGUGUAGAAGCGUUGGUAUAUGACAAUAAUAUAAAGCAGACCAAUUUUUUGGUGCAACCACUGUGGAAAGCAGUAUGGAGAUUCCUCAGAAAACUAAACAUAGAACUACCAUUUAAUCUAGUAAUCCCACUCCUGGGCAUCUACCCAGAGAAAACCACGACUCGAAAAGACACAUGUACUCCGAUGUUCAUUGCAGCACUAUUUACAAUAGCCAAGACAUGGAAACAACCUAAAUGUCCAUCGACAGAGGAGUGGACCCAGAAGAUGUGGUACAUAUACACAAUGGAAUAUUACUCAGCCAUGAAAAAGAACGAAAUACCAGCAUUUUUAGCAACAUGGAUGGACCUAGAAAUUGUCAUGUGAAGUGAAGUCAGCCAUACAAUGAGACACCAACAUCAAAUGCUUUCACUGACAUGUGGAGUCUGAAAAAAGGACAGACGGAACUUCUUUGCAGAGCAGAUACUGACUCACAGACAUUGAAAAACUUAUGGUCUUUGGAGGAGACAGUUUGGGGGUUGGGGGGAUGUGCUUGGGCUGUGGGAUGGAAAUCCUGUGAAAUCAGAUUGUUAUGAUCAUUAUACAACUACAGAUAUGUGAUAAAUUCAUUUGAGUAAUAAAAAAAUAACAAAAAAUAAAUAAAGUUUCCUAGAGGAAAAAAAUGGGCAAUAUAAAGAAAAAAUUGUGGGUGGAAAUAAGGAGGGAAGUGUUAAUAAGCACUUUUAGAUUUUAAAAUAUAACAUAAAAUCAAAAUACUAUUUAUUAUGACCAAUCAUAUACAAUGAAGUAAAAAAGAUGUUGAAAAUAUAAUUAAAUAUAAAAGCAUAUAUCCUUAGAAAUCACUAAGACUAUUCAAUAAGCUGGUUAUAAUAAAGAAAACUGGGAGUUCCUGUCGUGGCGCAGUGGUUAACGAAUCCGACUAGGAACCAUGACGUUGCGGGUUCGGUCCCUGCCCUUGCUCAGUGGGUUAACGAUCCGGCGUUGCCGUGAGCUGUGGUGUAGGUUGCAGACGCGGNNNNNNNNNNNNNNNNNNNNNNNNNNNNNNNNNNNNNNNNNNNNNNNNNNNNNNNNNNNNNNNNNNNNNNNNNNNNNNNNNNNNNNNNNNNNNNNNNNNNNNNNNNNNNNNNNNNNAAAAAAAAAAAAAAAAAAAAAAAAAAAAAAAAAAGAAAACUGGUGCCAGAUAACUAGUUAUAAUAUAGAAAAAUAUAUUUUUCAUGUCACUUUUUUUUAGCCUCAAAAAAAUAAAUAAAUAAAGCAGACCAAUUUUUGGUUGCUUUUAUUAUUAUUUUAAAAUUGUAUACAGAGGCAGUCUCCCUGGAUGGAGGGCUGUCUCCACCCUGUUUGCUCACAGGUUUGCAGAGUGUUUAGCAUGACCAUGGAACAGCAGGAUAAGACAUCUCUAGAGCUGGAGACAUUUGGCCUCAUGUCUGGAAGGUCAAUUAAAAAGCAAAGGUCUCUCUGGAAGGCAUCUACGUGAAGGUGUAAUCUGAGUUACUUGUGUUCCCAUUCAAUCCAGGUGAACUAGAAGGCCUUGUUUCCAGCGAGAUGACUCAAGGCAUUGCCAGAUAAUAGCCAAUGAGGAGGAAGAGGAGAGGUGAACCAGAGAGAUGGAAGUAGGCACAAUGAAAGAUGUAAACGGCCAAAUUUAAGAAGAUAUAGAAGGAAAUACUAUCGGUAACCCCGGAUUUAGAUUAGAUGUGCUUCUUUCUACUCCUGAUUUUGGAACCCAAAGCAGAGGGUAUAGCAUCUUACUUUCUGGGCUAAGAACGAGGAGUCCCAUGAUGGUUGGCCCUACUUCAGCUCCUUCCCUGCCCCCAGUUCUACAUGAGUCCGAAUGUUAGGGCCUUUCUUUAAAAUUAAGAAAUACCACAUUUUAUUUUCUGCAUUAGUCUGGAUGAGUUUAUCAGAAACUAUACUGAAAGGAUGUUGUGCAGAGAACCCAAAGUGAAUUUAAAUUCAGAAGACCUGGCAGACCACGUGCGAGAACUUUGUCCAGUGCUGGGAAGUUGCUUCCCAGAGAACAGGCAUGCCUUUCCACAAAAAUACCUUCCAGGGCCAUGGUAGUAUCCGUGCUAACUGCACCCUGGUUUUGGACUAGGAAGGCAAAGCGACAGAAGUUUAAUGACUUAAAAUAGAGUUCUGGGGAGUUCCUGUUGUGGCGCAGUGGAAAUGAAUCCGACCAGGAACCAUGAGGUUGCAGGUUCGAUCCCUGACCUUGCUCAAUGGGUUAAGGGUCUGGCAUUGCCAUGAGCUGUGGUGUAGGUCGCCGACACGGCUCAGAUC
rnacentral:lncRNA from 1 species